rnacentral:rRNA from 1 species
AUUGAACGCUGGCGGCAGGCCUAACACAUGCAAGUCGAACGAGUGGCGGACGGGUGAGUAAUGUCUGGGAAACUGCCUGAUGGAGGGGGAUAACUACUGGAAACGGUAGCUAAUACCGCAUACCAUCGGAUGUGCCCAGAGGGGAUUAGCUAGUAGGGGGGGUAACGGCUCACCUGGGCGACGAUCCCUAGCUGGUCUGAGAGGAUGACCGGCCACACGGGAACUGAGACACGGUCCGGACUCCUCCGGGAGGCAGCAGUGGGGAAUAUUGCACAAGGGGCGCAAGCCUGAUGCAGCCAUGCCGCGUGUAUGAAGAAGGCUUUCGGGUUGUAAAGUACUUUCAGCGGGGAGGCGUUACCCGCAGAAGAAGCACCGGCUAACUCCGUGCCAGCCGCCGCGGUAAUUC